rnacentral:sRNA from 1 species
CUCACUGCUAAGCUAUCGCCGCUGCCAACCUAUCUAUUGCUGCAAGCUAUCCCUUGCUGCUAAGCUAUCGCCGCUGCCAAUCUAUCUAUUGCUGCAAGCUAUCCCUCACUGCUAAGCUAUCGCUGUCAACCUAUCUAUCACUGCCAACCUAUCUAUCACUGCCAAUUUAUCUACCACUGCCAAUCUAUCUAUUGCUGCUAAUCUAUCACUGCUGUCAAUCUAUCUAUCGCUGCUAAUCUAUCUAUCGCUGUCAAUCUAUCCCUCACUGCCAAUCUAUCUAUUGCUGCUAAUCUAUCGCUGCCAACCUAUCUACCGCGGCGAAUCUAUCUAUCACUGCCAAUUUAUCUACCACUGUCAAUCUAUCUAUCGCUGCCAAUCUAUUGCUGCUAAUCUAUCGCUGCUAAUCUAUCGCUGCUGCCAAUCUAUCUAUCGCUGCUAAUCUAUCGCUGCUGCCAAUCUAUCCCUCACUGCUAAGCUAUCCCUCGCUGCUAAGCUAUCCCUCACUGCUAAGCUAUCCCUCGCUGCUAAGCUAUCCCUCGCUGCUAAGCUAUCCCUCACUGCUAAGCUAUCCCUCGCUGCUAAGCUAUCCCUCACUACUAAGCUAUCUAUCACUGCUAAUCUAUCGCUGCCAACCUAUCUAUCACUGCCAAUCUAUCUAUCGCUGCUAAUCUAUCACUGCUAAUCUAUCGCUGCCAACCUAUCUAUCACUGCCAAUCUAUCUAUCGCUGCUAAUCUAUCGCUGCUAAUCUAUCGCUGCCAACCUAUCUAUCGCUGCCAAUUUAUCUACCACUGCCAAUCUAUCUAUCGCUGCCAAUUUAUCUACCACUGCCAAUCUAUCUAUCGCUGCUAAUCUAUCGCUGCUAAUCUAUCACUGCCAACCUAUCCAUCGCUGCCAAUUUAUCUACCACUGCCAAUCUAUCUAUCGCUGCUAAUCUAUCACUGCUAAUCUAUCGCUGCCAACCUAUCUAUCACUGCCAAUCUAUCUAUCGCUGCUAAUCUAUCGCUGCUAAUCUAUCGCUGCCAACCUAUCUAUCGCUGCCAAUUUAUCUACCACUGCCAAUCUAUCUAUCGCUGCCAAUUUAUCUACCACUGCCAAUCUAUCUAUCACUGCUAAUCUAUCGCUGCUAAUCUAUUGCUGCUAAUCUAUUGCUGCUGCCAAUCUAUCUAUCACUGCUAAUCUAUUGCUGCUAAUCUAUCACUGCUAAUCUAUCGCUGCUAAUCUAUCGCUGCUAAUCUAUCGCUGCUAAUCUAUUGCUGCUAAUCUAUCGCUGCCAACCUAUCUACCGCGGCGAAUCUAUCUAUUGCUGCCAAUCAACCUACCACUGCCAACCUAUCUAUUGCUGCCAAUCUAUCGCUGCCAACCUAUCUACUGCAGUGAAUCUAUCUAUCACUAUCAUUACUAGUUCAAAAUAGAACUAGAGCAUAAAUACACUAAACUUCUUUUGAUAGAUAAUGAUUUUUGAUAACACUCAUAGCAUUAUAUCAUCUAUAUAGGGUAAAUCAUGGUCCCAUUUGGUCCCAUUUUAACAAAAUGGGAUCAAAUGAAACCAGAAUCAGUAAUUUAUAAGAAGAACAUGAUCUGAGACUAGAUUUAUAAUAUAAACAGUGUAAAGUGACUAAUUUAAUAAACACUAUAUG